rnacentral:misc_RNA from 1 species
UCUCCGUAGGUGAACCUGCGGAGGGAUCAUUACUGAGUGAGGGCCUCCCCGGCCCGACCUCCAACCCUUUGUGAACACAACUUGUUGCUUCGGGGGCGACCCUGCCGUCCGCGGCUGAGCGCCCCCGGAGGCCUUCAAACACUGCAUCUUUGCGUCGGAGUUUGACACAAAUGAAACAAAACUUUCAACAACGGAUCUCUUGGUUCUGGCAUCGAUGAAGAACGCAGC